GACUCUUACAGGUGGAUCACUCGGCUUCUGCAUUGGUGAAGAGUGCAGCUAGCUGUGAUAAUUAAUGUGAAUUGCAGGACAUUGAUCCUUGGAAAGGCACACUUGGAACGCACUUGCAGCCCUUGGUUCCUCCAGGGUCUAUGCCUGUCUGAGCAUCU
ensembl:rRNA 5_8S_rRNA 5.8S ribosomal RNA